rnacentral:misc_RNA from 1 species
CGGGUAGCAUCGACGACUGAGGCAUGGCGGAAGCGAAAUGACAGCACUCCCGUGGUGACUCGCGGCGACGACGGCACUCCCGUGGUGACUCGCAGCGACGACGGCACCCCACCGAUUGCGACCUGAUUGACGACGGCAGAUGGCUGCGAGACGGAGAAGGAAGAAGUCGGGGAGAGAGAGAAAGCAGCGCCGCUGGGAGAAGAAAAGAGAG